UGGCUGGCUGGCUCACCUCGCGCGCCCGCCGCUGCCUGGCUGUGCGGCCGCUUUCCCUUCGCUUUGCCCGUCAAGGUUCCGCGGACAGCCGGUCCCGCCGCCUUCGCUCCCCUGCGAGUCUCGCAAGCCACUGCCCGGCUGCCAACGCCGCCGCCCGCCCAGCUUUUCCACCCACCGCCGCCUUCGUCGCUGAGCCCCGAGUUCAGGUGCCUCCGCUUCUGUUGCUUUCCGCCGGUUGGAUUCCAUCCCGGGGCAGCUGGCUGGGUUCACACACAACCCGCGGACCCAGCCUGCCAGAAAAUGUCUGAGUCAAUGUGGUUGCAGAGAACAGCAGGAAAUUAGACUAAGGACCCGUGUGCCGCUGGAUGUGUCUCCUCUACUUCUGCUCCUCAAAAUCAGAACUGCUGAGUGUUUCAAGUAACAAGAUGAUGACUCUAUGGCCUUGGUCUCAUGACCUUUAACAGGCUUUCCAGAAAGAGCCUUAGAGAUGCUGUGAAACUCAGCUUCGAGUCUCUGCGAAACAUUUGCACGUGGUCUUGUUGCUGUCCCAAGACUUCAGGGAGACUCUCAGCAAGGCACCAUGUUCCAUGAAGUGGCUCUGUGGUUGCUGGUGGGCAUCCGAAUCGCUGCAAUAGCCGGAGGGGGCCCUGGAGGAGGUUAUGCGCAGAUGAAAUACAUGCAGCCGGUGGUGAAAGGGCCCCUUGGCCCUCCAUUCCGAGAAGGUAAAGGCCAGUACGUAGAUAUGCCUCCACUGCUGCCGAUGGACCUCAAGGGGGAACCAGGACCACCGGGAAAACCAGGCCCGAGAGGACCACCUGGGCCACCAGGCUAUCCCGGGAAACCAGGCACCGGGAAACCAGGACUUCAUGGGCAACCUGGACCUGCUGGGCCCCCUGGCUUUUCCGGCAUCGGCAAACCUGGCCUUCCAGGACUUCCGGGCAAGGCUGGCAUGAAGGGGAUGCCAGGGCCGUCAGGGGAGAUCGGCCCACGAGGAGACCAAGGGCUGCGGGGCUGGCCGGGACCACCUGGAUUGCCUGGGCCUGCUGGACUCUCUGUGAAUGGGAAACCAGGCCCAAACGGGAGCCCGGGGCUCCCUGGAUUCCGGGGAGAACCUGGGCCCAAAGGAGAACCCGGCCUGCGAGGCGAGCCUGGAGCAAAGGGCGAGAAUGGGGUGGGGAAGCCCGGACUGACGGGCCCCCGAGGUAAUGGGGGACUGCCUGGCCCUGCAGGACCUCCAGGCCUUCCAGGCCUUGGAAAACCUGGCCUGGAUGGGUUGCCUGGGGCUCCGGGAAGCAAAGGGGACUUGGGGCUUCCGGGGGAGCCAGGGCUCAGUGGACAACCUGGGCCUAUGGGCCCUCGUGGUCCUCCAGGUCUGGACGGCACUGGGCUGCCUGGCAUAGCUGGCAUGCCGGGUCUGCCAGGCCACUUGGGGCCUAAGGGUGAACCUGGCUUGCGUGGCCUUCCAGGGCUGCCUGGCGCUACAGGGUAUGGGAAACCAGGGCUUCCUGGCUUGAAGGGGGACCGUGGGCAACCGGGAGUGCCAGGAGUAAUCGGCGACAAAGGGGAGCCCGGGAUGGACGGAGAGCCAGGGGAGAUGGGGCCCCCUGGCUUGGUUGGAGGCCCUGGUCCUCAGGGUGUCAUGGGUUUGCCAGGCAAGCAUGGGCUCCCUGGCGUGAAAGGUGAAGUAGGGCCAAGUGGGCCUAUGGGACCCCCAGGUCUGCGGGGAGACCAGGGGCCCAAUGGCUUUGCGGGCAAGCCGGGGAUUCCUGGGGAGAGAGGGCUCCCCGGUGCCACAGGGAUGCCUGGCCCAAUGGGUCCCAAGGGGGAAAGUGGCUUCAUGGGGCUUCCCGGGGCCCCAGGCUCUACUGGACCCCAUGGGAUCAAGGGAGACGCUGGGAUCCCAGGCCAACCAGGCCUCAGGGGCCCUUCAGGGAUACCAGGUUUGCAAGGCCCCUCGGGUCCCAUGGGCCCCCAAGGUUUGACAGGCUUGAAAGGUGAACCUGGGCCCCCGGGAGCCCCUGGAAUCAGCCGAGUUGGAGAGCCAGGCAUGAUAGGUCCUGCUGGCCCUCCAGGGGUUCCUGGAAAUCCUGGCAUCAUUGGGCUCCCAGGACCCCCGGGUCCGCCUGGGGCCCCAGGAAUAUCGCCUGAGUUUCAGGGCCACCAUUUGCCCGACGGAAGUGUUGAUGGAGCAGUGUUGGGGAACGGCAAGCCUGGGAAACCGCAGUUUGGCCGAGGGGAACUCUCUGCCCAAAUGUUGCCAGCUUUCACCGCCAUCCUGAGCUCGCCUUUCCCAGCCUCAGGAAUGCCCGUAAAAUUCGACAGGACUUUGUACAAUGGGCAGAACGGCUAUAACCCAGGAACAGGCAUCUUCACUUGUCCCAUUUCUGGCAUCUAUUACUUCGCCUAUCACGUCCACGUGAAAGGAACCAAUGUCUGGGUGGCCCUUUAUAAAAACAACGUGCCGGCCACCUACACUUACGACGAGUACAAAAAGGGCUAUUUAGACCAAGCGUCGGGCAGCGCCGUGCUUGAACUCAAGGAAAACGACCAAGUCUGGAUCCAGAUGCCAUCAGACCAAGCCAACGGUCUCUACUCCACCGAAUAUAUCCAUUCUUCUUUUUCCGGAUUCCUUCUCUGCCCCACAUAACGGCUGUUGGAAGUUGCUCUUUUCUUCCCUUGAGUCAUAAACUUGUCUUUUUUGAAAAACAAAAACAAAAAAAUAGGAAAGUCACUGGGAAGGAUGGUGCGAGCCACGAUCGCUUUGACCCAGCCAAGGAGAGCAUCCGGGAAAGAGAACCGUUGUUACUGGACCACCUGGGGAUUCUGAAUUUGAUUUAUCCUUAUGACGGCAUGGCCUGGCAAGCCCACAGAUGCUGCCCGUCACGUCUUUGGAGCCCUCGAAAGUCAGAAAGGGUUGGGGAAGCUCUGCCAACAAAAGUCACUUUUAACGUUGUGGGUUUUUUUUUUAAAAAAAAAAUCAGCUUAAGGCACCAUUUUCCUUUGUUUAGCUCUUUUAAAAUGUGAUUUCGGUCGACGCCUGAGGCAUAAUGAAGACCCAGAAGGGUGAAUUAUGAAAUCGUGAAAUGCUUUGCUUUAAGCAUCUUUUACGCAAGGCUCUGUUGUAUCUUUAAAGCAUCCAGUUUGGUGAUUGUGGGAAAAGGGAUGACAAAGGAACUCUUUAUUUCAAAGCCAUACAGAGACUUCUAAAAUCAACUGGAAAAAGCCAGACACCGUAAAUCAUGCGUUUAAUAGCCCAGGGUUAUAUAAACCGGUCAAAUGUCCAUCAGGUGCAAGGCAGUAGUUUAAAUAAAUAAAUAUACUUCUAUAAAUAUCUGAGUAUUAAAGCACUGCAGAUAUUGCUAAUUUUAUAUAUAUAUAUAUAUAAAAGACUGAAUUGUGUUAAGUUCAAACACCUUGUUACCGUGUUUCCUCAGGAUCUGCAGAUUGUAGACGAAGGUGGCUGUACCAAAUUCCAUACAAUAUGUGAUAUCUUUUCUAAGUAGAAUUCUUGGUGUCCCUUCAGUGUAAUUCCCACAAUGGUGCUGAAUAAUAUUUUCCUAAUAUUAGUUCCUUUAAAAGACAUUUUGAGUAGUGCAAUAUCCUUUUUAAAAAAAAAAAAAGAUGCAAAGUUUUGGGUUUUUGCAGUGUUUUUUUUAGAGCAGCCAUCUGUACCCCUUAAAUACAAAAAAAAGAGUUUUUUGUCAUCCGAAGAAAUAAUAGCACAUGAAAAAUACGCUAAGGAUACCUUUCUGCAUAAAUGGUGGAGAAGAUAGAUAGAUUUAAUUAACUAUUCUUUUUAUAGAUUGUGAAAUGGCCAGAGCAGCUUAGUAUGUUUUUCAAAUUUAUUGUAAACAUAUAUAUAUACAUUUAAACAACUCGACUGGAACAACAAUUGCAAUCAACGCUGAGUUUGUUGACAAACAUUCUAGGUUGACAUGAGUGAAAAACAUCACACCUUGGGCUGUAAAAGGAGCAGCAAAAGGAAACUGCUGGAAAUAUUUGGCUCAUCUGCUAUUACAAAUAUUCUACCAACUGCCUUUCCCCCCCCCUUCCCAUCCUUUUUUUUCUUUUAAAGUGAUCUGAUUUGUCUGAUUUAGGUACAACAAAAGAAACAGGCUAAUAUUUCUCAUUCAAUCUGGUUUGUUUUCUAAAUUCCUGAAGAUGACAACAAUAAUAAUCCUAAUGGUACCCACUACUUGCAAAAUAACUUCUUUAUUUUCACCUUGGUUUCCCUCAGGCUAAAAAAUUAAAAGGAGCCAUGGGAGGGCCCAUUUUCUGUGUGCCUCAUACUCAAAAGGCCAAUUUUAGAGGCUUGUAUUCUUGUUUCAAGUGUAUUUUCCUGUGGAGAAAAGCCUUUUGGUCCUAUUCAUUCAGACACCAUUAGCUCAGAGAAAAUACGUUACCAGUUAGCAAAAUCUGAAGGGGAAAAAAAUGAAGUAUUCUAAGAGCAGAAGAGAAUAACAUAAAUAAAUCCAGGUUUUUGCUCUAGGUGCCCAGAGCAUCAUUUAUUUGUAGCAUGCUCUACUGCAAAGGUUGGAGACCCCUGCUCUACUGGACAUAAAAUCUUUUCUUAUCUGUGUACACAGGUAGCCCUCAACUUACGACCACAAUAGAGCCCAAAAUUUUCUAACGGUAAGACAGUUGUUAAGUGAGUUUUUCCCCCUUUUACAGCCUUUCUUGCCAUAGUUGUUAAGUGAAUCAAUGCAAUUUGUUAAGUUAGUGGCGUGGCUGUUAAGUGAAUUUGGCCUUCCCCGUUGACUUUGCUUGUCCAAGGGUCGCAAAAGAGGAUCGCAUGACAUGGGGAUGCUACAACGGUUGUGUGAAAAACGGUCAUAAGUCGCUUUUUUCAUUGCUGUUGUAACUUCAAACGGUCACUAAAUGAAUGGCUGUAAGUCAAGGGCUCCCUGUAUUGGUCAUUUGUGUGCUGACAAGGCACAAAACAAAGUCAGUAGACAACAUUUUCUCCAAGUUCAAAAAACGGGGGAAUGAGUUCCGAAGUUUUACAAGCUGAUUAUUUUUUUCCCUAUACGAAACAUGACCCGUCUGUAUGUUAAUGCAUUCUAAACGUCACAACAAAGCAGCGAUCGCAUACAGAACGAUGAAGCGUGGGGCUGAAGAGGCUAACCAGCAAAGCCAUCCUUAGCGUAUCUUUGUGGACAUCUACAGCAUCUAAUCUUCUGUCAGAAAAGGUUGGGGGUUUUGGCAUUUGGGAGGACUUGUACGAAGUGAGUUUCAGUCAGCCGGAAACGCAGGCCUGGGACGUCCUUACAAUGUGCAUCUUCAUAUACCAUUGGGAUAUCCUUAAAAAAAACAAAUGUGCUAGUAUCUUUGUUUCU